CGUCCAAUCGUCGUCCGCAUGAAGAAAAGUGGAUUCAUUUUCAGGUUGUAAACAUUGGUUAAUUCUGAUGUAAGAUGAUGGAAAUUGGAUCUGAGAUUAGUCACAAGAUCCGGUCUGCUAUUAAGGCAAAACUGGUUGAACUUGGAGCCUAUGUAGAUGAAGAACUACCAGACUACAUCAUGGUCAUGGUGGCCAACAAGAAGAACAGUUUACAGAUGACGGAGGACCUUAAUCUCUUCCUUGGAUCAAACACAGAAAAGUUCACCACAUGGCUCCACAACCUGAUCAACAAGUUGCAGUCUAUAUCAAAUGAAACAGUAUCUGAUGACAAAGAAAAAAAGGAGAAGGAAAGAAAGAAAUCCACAGAAAAGAAGAAAGUCAUCUCUAGUGAUGUCCCAGCUGCUGUGCCAGUUAAGAAGGUUGAGAAGGCACCUGUUGUCCAGAAGGAGACAGUCAAGCCUAAAGUCAAUAAAGUGAAGGAGGUAGUUCAACCGAAGGAGCCGUCGCCUGUGCCUGACCUAGAAGAACCAGAGUUUACUGUCAGGGCAGAUACAGAUGAAUUCAGUGAAGAAAUGAAAGAGAUAGAGAAACAGGCUGAGGCAAAGAGAGCCCCCAUCCAACCGACAACCACAGCUCCCCCUGUUGUAAUCCCCACCCCUAAGCCUGUAGUCACCACCCCACCAGCUCCCGUAACCGUAGUGAAGGAGCCACCACCGGUGCGACCCACAGCUACUGCUGUGUCGCGACUAAGUGACAGAAAGACUGUUGUGCGAUCAGAGUCCCGGCAUGAAGGGAGGUCUGUUGUGUCAUCAGACAAACCAGCCCAAGUCGUCAGAAGGACAGCAGUUUUGAAGUCUUCCAGUGUAGCUCUGAAGCGGAAAGCCCCCAGUUCUGUGGUGAAGCCCAUGUCUAGUCGUGCAGAAGAAGAGGAGGAGGAGUACGACCCUCACAAUCCAUCUGUGGGCAGUGUUGCCAGUGUAGUGCGAGUCACGGCAAGGAAGUCUAGUGUACCCAGAUCACUACAAGCCAACAAGAUGCUGCUGAUGAAGGCUAUGACAGAUGCAGAGAAAUCUGUCACCACCACUGGCAAGCGAUCAGUCACAGUCACAGACAACAAACCAGAACGAAGCCAGCAACGAUCUCAGUACAACAGCAGUAGGGCUACAGUAUUAGCUGAUAAAAAUGUGACGCGAUCCUACAACACCACUCCAUCCUACAACACCACUCGGCCUAGCCUGGUGUCUCGCUCCAAGAAGGAGGAGAUCAUGAGGAAAAUGAAGUACACCAUCGAGGUUGAGUCACCCCACGAUUCACCUGAGGAACCAGGCUCUGAGGAGGAGCCGGUGCCUGACAACCGAGUUGUCGAGGUGGACCCAGAGGAGGAGGUGGAGCAGGUAGUGUCAAGUCCAGAAGCAGUGGCUGGAGCAUCUGACUCUGACCCCGGGGCAGAGGUUGAGACGGUGGUGGAGGAAGAGGAUGCAAUCGGUGUCGGAGACGAGGAGGAGGAGGAGACGGAGCAGGGGGAAGAAGAGAUACCUGUCAUCCUGGAGGAUGUGGCUUCAGACGAGUUCCGUCACAUUCUGGACACGGAAGGGAGUCAGGUUCAAGGCAGGCUACAGCAGCAGGAGGAGGUCAUGGCAGAGGAGGAGGGUGAUGGCAACUCCAGGGUAGUCAAAGACAAUUCCAAGAACACCAAGUUUAUUGUUACUCUGGAUGGUGUUGACCCAGACCAGUAUGAGAGCAUGGAGGUGGACAUGGAGGACACAGGCGAAUCUACACGGGUCAUGGAUGUCACGUCCCGAGUGGCUCCACCCAGAAUCAAACCUUUCUCUAUCAACCUCAAGGAUUCGGAUGAGGAAGAAGACCAUUCUAUUACCCCCCUGAAGAAGGCAAAAAUGGCAGAAAAGUGCCGAUUUUGGCCAGCAUGUGUUAAUGGCAAUGCAUGUGAAUAUCACCAUCCCACAGUCAGUUGCAAAACAUUCCCCAGCUGCAAGUUCGGAGAUAAAUGUUUGUAUAUUCACCCAAAUUGUAAAUAUGAUGCCCGGUGUACAAAAACAGAUUGUCCAUUUACACAUGCAAGUAGAAGAAAACCUAUGACUACAUCACCUCCACAAGUUAUUGCCAUCCCCCAGCCCAAGGUAAUAUUAGCUGCCCCCAUGGCCCCUGUACCUGCUGCAUCAACACAUCCUCGCCAGAUCACCUGUAGAUUCUUCCCCAACUGCCACAACAUGAAGUGUCCCUUUAAACAUCCAAAGCCUUGUAGAUAUGGGUUAAGCUGUGCCAAGAAGGCAGCUUGCCCUUUCUUUCACCCAGCCCUGCCAAGCAAAGACAAGCUGACAUGGAAGGCUGGCAACGUGGAGCAUAGGAGUGCCACUAACCCAAAUGGCAUCAAGGCUUCUUGAUCUUCGCUAUGUGACUGUUGUGUGGAUGUGUUUUACGUGAUACCUUGACCAGUUCCUGGUGUCGUCAGUGGUUGUAAGGAUUUCACACUCUGAGCUGAGAAGACCAACAGUACCAAACUUCUCAUAGUGAUCAAACCUUGAGCUUUUUAUACUAUUGCUGCCACCAGUCACAACUCCUAGCUGUGCUAGUCACUGCUAGGUGGCCAAAUCCCUGCAUGAAGCUACACUCGCAUUCUUUUCCAAACAAGCAAUGACAUGCUGUUCAUGUAUUAGCAGGUUAUUCUAGUUCAUUUCAACUACAAGAUAUAAACUUUGAUAAACAAAUAUCAUAAGAAUGUAAGUUAACACUUUUGGCUGCUUUUCAAAUGUCAGGAACAUAAGGUCAAUUAGUUCUAAUGAAUGUGUGUAUAUUUUUCUGGGAAAUUAUCAGGUUAUUUCACAAUGAACUUAAAUGAUGGAAACACGCAAGGAACAUUUUGGUUUUGAAAGAAAGUUUCAAAUUCAUUGUACUAGAUACAGCUUCACAGGUUGCAGCAAUGACAAAUAGAGACAAAUGAAGCUGGCAGUGACUUUUAAAGAAAAUACCACAGAUAAAUUACUAUCCAAACAACCACCUCACACACUGAUGUGUACAAGUGAGUUCGUACAAGUGCACAUGCUGAGUGCAUGUUGAUUGUGAUAUGACUCUGAAGCUUGGAUUUGUGGGUCUGUACAGGCCGACCUGGUCCAGGUGCUGAAUGUGGACAAGAAGAUAUGACUCUGAUGUGUUAGAUUCUAGCUGAAGCUUGGAUUUGUGGGUCUGUACAGGCCGACCUGGUCCAGGUGCUGAAUGUGGACAAGAAGAUAUGACUGUGAUGUGUUGGAUUCUAGCUGAAGCUUGGAUUUGUGGGUCUGUACAGGCCGACCUGGUCCAGGUGCUGGAUGUGGGGAUGAUAGGAUGAGACACUGAUGCUAAGGUUCUGUCCAGACAGACGGAACAGGCUGCAGGACAUUACAUUGUCCAAGUUGAUCAGUUGUUUAAGCCACAUGUUGUGUUGUUGGCAGUUUUUGGAUUGUUGUACGUGUAUUGCCAUAUUAUUUAUAAAUACUGAGGUCAAUGAGAAUUCAUGUAGUUAGUUAAAGCCUUAACAUCCUUUUUAAUUUGGUUUAUGUGUGUGUAUUUUGCAAAACAAUAUUGCGAUCAAAAUACUAAUGCAAAUUAAUUUGAGAAAAGCAACUGUGUUCUUAUCAGACUUAUCAUGCUUAGUGAGUGGUUGCGCGUUGAUAUUUAAAAUAUGUUACGAAAGAAUAUGAUCUGGUGGGACUGAUUUUUUGAAUGACAAGUCAAAGAGUCAUGUCCCUUCCAAUUUCGUUUUUGAGGUAUUACUGAUUUUUACUGUAUUUGUUUUUUAACCUAAUCAGCCUGAUGAAGAAAAGUUGGGAAAAACAUUGUGAUGUUUGGAUUGAGUGAUUCACACACGUUUUUUCCAGAAUAAUUUUACACACAAGCAGUGAAAAUGUACAACUUCUUUAUAUGAUAUAAAUAGGAGCUGUUUUGGAAAGGUGCCCAUGUAUCCAAAACAUUUUUAUAAUUAUCCCUCUGUACACAGAACAUUUUGUGUUUAUUAAAAGCAUAUAAUGAA
rnacentral:misc_RNA from 1 species